rnacentral:tRNA from 1 species
GGAUAUAGCUCAGUGGUAGAGCACAUGUUUAACAAGCACAAGGCCCUGGGUUCAGUUCCCAGUGUUC